UUAAGCGACUAAGCGUACACGGUGGAUGCCCUGGCAGUCAGAGGCGAUGAAGGACGUGCUAAUCUGCGAUAAGCGUCGGUGAGGUGAUAUGAACCGUUAUAACCGGCGAUUUCCGAAUGGGGAAACCCAGUGUGUUUCGACACACUAUCAUUAACUGAAUCCAUAGGUUAAUGAGGCGAACCGGGGGAACUGAAACAUCUAAGUACCCCGAGGAAAAGAAAUCAACCGAGAUUCCCCCAGUAGCGGCGAGCGAACGGGGAGGAGCCCAGAGCCUGAAUCAGUGUGUGUGUUAGUGGAAGCGUCUGGAAAGGCGUGCGAUACAGGGUGACAGCCUCGUACACAAAAAUGCACAUAUUGUGAGCUCGAUGAGUAGGGCGGGACACGUGGUAUCCUGUCUGAAUAUGGGGGGACCAUCCUCCAAGGCUAAAUACUCCUGACUGACCGAUAGUGAACCAGUACCGUGAGGGAAAGGCGAAAAGAACCCCGGCGAGGGGAGUGAAAAAGAACCUGAAACCGUGUACGUACAAGCAGUGGGAGCCUCUUAAUGGGGUGACUGCGUACCUUUUGUAUAAUGGGUCAGCGACUUAUAUUCUGUAGCAAGGUUAACCGAAUAGGGGAGCCGAAGGGAAACCGAGUCUUAACUGGGCGUUAAGUUGCAGGGUAUAGACCCGAAACCCGGUGAUCUAGCCAUGGGCAGGUUGAAGGUUGGGUAACACUAACUGGAGGACCGAACCGACUAAUGUUGAAAAAUUAGCGGAUGACUUGUGGCUGGGGGUGAAAGGCCAAUCAAACCGGGAGAUAGCUGGUUCUCCCCGAAAGCUAUUUAGGUAGCGCCUCGUGAAUUCAUCUCCGGGGGUAGAGCACUGUUUCGGCAAGGGGGUCAUCCCGACUUACCAACCCGAUGCAAACUGCGAAUACCGGAGAAUGUUAUCACGGGAGACACACGGCGGGUGCUAACGUCCGUCGUGAAGAGGGAAACAACCCAGACCGCCAGCUAAGGUCCCAAAGUCAUGGUUAAGUGGGAAACGAUGUGGGAAGGCCCAGACAGCCAGGAUGUUGGCUUAGAAGCAGCCAUCAUUUAAAGAAAGCGUAAUAGCUCACUGGUCGAGUCGGCCUGCGCGGAAGAUGUAACGGGGCUAAACCAUGCACCGAAGCUGCGGCAGCGACACUAUGUGUUGUUGGGUAGGGGAGCGUUCUGUAAGCCUGUGAAGGUGGCCUGUGAGGGUUGCUGGAGGUAUCAGAAGUGCGAAUGCUGACAUAAGUAACGAUAAAGCGGGUGAAAAGCCCGCUCGCCGGAAGACCAAGGGUUCCUGUCCAACGUUAAUCGGGGCAGGGUGAGUCGACCCCUAAGGCGAGGCCGAAAGGCGUAGUCGAUGGGAAACAGGUUAAUAUUCCUGUACUUGGUGUUACUGCGAAGGGGGGACGGAGAAGGCUAUGUUGGCCGGGCGACGGUUGUCCCGGUUUAAGCGUGUAGGCUGGUUUUCCAGGCAAAUCCGGAAAACCAAGGCUGAGGCGUGAUGACGAGGCACUACGGUGCUGAAGUGACAAAUGCCCUGCUUCCAGGAAAAGCCUCUAAGCAUCAGGUAACAUCAAAUCGUACCCCAAACCGACACAGGUGGUCAGGUAGAGAAUACCAAGGCGCUUGAGAGAACUCGGGUGAAGGAACUAGGCAAAAUGGUGCCGUAACUUCGGGAGAAGGCACGCUGAUAUGUAGGUGAAGCGACUUGCUCGUGGAGCUGAAAUCAGUCGAAGAUACCAGCUGGCUGCAACUGUUUAUUAAAAACACAGCACUGUGCAAACACGAAAGUGGACGUAUACGGUGUGACGCCUGCCCGGUGCCGGAAGGUUAAUUGAUGGGGUUAGCGGUAACGCGAAGCUCUUGAUCGAAGCCCCGGUAAACGGCGGCCGUAACUAUAACGGUCCUAAGGUAGCGAAAUUCCUUGUCGGGUAAGUUCCGACCUGCACGAAUGGCGUAAUGAUGGCCAGGCUGUCUCCACCCGAGACUCAGUGAAAUUGAACUCGCUGUGAAGAUGCAGUGUACCCGCAGCAAGACGGAAAGACCCCGUGAACCUUUACUAUAGCUUGACACUGAACAUUGAGCCUUGAUGUGUAGGAUAGGUGGGAGGCUUUGAAGUGUGGACGCCAGUCUGCAUGGAGCCGACCUUGAAAUACCACCCUUUAAUGUUUGAUGUUCUAACGUUGGCCCGUAAUCCGGGUUGCGGACAGUGUCUGGUGGGUAGUUUGACUGGGGCGGUCUCCUCCUAAAGAGUAACGGAGGAGCACGAAGGUUGGCUAAUCCUGGUCGGACAUCAGGAGGUUAGUGCAAUGGCAUAAGCCAGCUUGACUGCGAGCGUGACGGCGCGAGCAGGUGCGAAAGCAGGUCAUAGUGAUCCGGUGGUUCUGAAUGGAAGGGCCAUCGCUCAACGGAUAAAAGGUACUCCGGGGAUAACAGGCUGAUACCGCCCAAGAGUUCAUAUCGACGGCGGUGUUUGGCACCUCGAUGUCGGCUCAUCACAUCCUGGGGCUGAAGUAGGUCCCAAGGGUAUGGCUGUUCGCCAUUUAAAGUGGUACGCGAGCUGGGUUUAGAACGUCGUGAGACAGUUCGGUCCCUAUCUGCCGUGGGCGCUGGAGAACUGAGGGGGGCUGCUCCUAGUACGAGAGGACCGGAGUGGACGCAUCACUGGUGUUCGGGUUGUCAUGCCAAUGGCACUGCCCGGUAGCUAAAUGCGGAAGAGAUAAGUGCUGAAAGCAUCUAAGCACGAAACUUGCCCCGAGAUGAGUUCUCCCUGACUCCUUGAGAGUCCUGAAGGAACGUUGAAGACGACGACGUUGAUAGGCCGGGUGUGUAAGCGCAGCGAUGCGUUGAGCUAACCGGUACUAAUGAACCGUGAGGCUUAACCUU
rnacentral:rRNA from 2 species